rnacentral:rRNA from 1 species
GAUGAACGCUGGCGGCGUGCUUAACACAUGCAAGUCGAACGGAAAGGCUCCUGCUUGCAGGGGUACUCGAGUGGCGAACGGGUGAGUAACACGUGGGUGAUCUGCCCUGCACUUCGGGAUAAGCCUGGGAAACUGGGUCUAAUACCGGAUAGGACGAUGGUUUGGAUGCCAUUGUGGAAAGUUUUUUCGUUGUGGGAUGAGCUCGCGGCCUAUCAGCUUGUUGGUGGGGUAAUGGCCUACCAAGGCGUCGACGGGUAGCCGGCCUGAGAGGGUGUACGGCCACAUUGGGACUGAGAUACGGCCCAGACUCCUACGGGAGGCAGCAGUGGGGAAUAGUGCACAAUGGGCGCAAGCCUGAUGCAGCGACGCCGCGUGGGGGAUGACGGCCUUCGGGUUGUAAACUCCUUUCGCUAGGGACGAAGCGCAAGUGACGGUACCUGGAGAAGAAGCACCGGCUAACUACGUG